ACGUUCCGAGGAUAUUCGCUUUAGUCGAGUCUUGCUUUUCGUCGGCGCGCCAACAGUACGCGCGUUCUCGUUGAUUCAAGAAAUGUCGCGCGACGUUGACAAAGAUGCACCGGAAUGUACAGAAAAUGAUAAUUUGUUAGAAAAUCGGAACGAUCCUCGUAUCGCGUGUUGUUCAGUCGUAAUGUCAGACGAAUCGAAUCAAAGGUAUAAUCAUAAUCAUCAUCAUCACCACCAUCUUCAUCACCAUCAACACAAUUAUCGACGUCAGCAACAACAAAGAUAUAAACAAGAUAAUUGUAAGAGUCUAGUAAGCUAUGAGAAAUCGAAUCGAAAGGGGGGUGGUGGUGGUCCAAUCGGGAUCGUUGAUGGUUCGAGUCACGAUGUCACCUCUUCAGCAACUCUUCCAUCGAUCGUCGUCAGCGACGUAGACGAGAACGAGGAGGAUCCACCGCCUUACAGUGCGAUUGUGCCACCGGAUCACGUCGGCUGGCCGUUCGUCUUCUCGACCCACAUCCCGUAUUCCAUGCACGCAACGCAACCCUGCAUAACAGAGCCGCCUUUGGCGCCCUUCCAGACACUACCCCUAACUCAAGCAUCGCCACCGCUACCUCUACCUCUACCUCUACCACUACCACUACCACUGUCGCAAUCGCAAUCACUAGCAUCAACACCACCAGUACAAGCAACAUCCUCUCUCCAACAACCACUCACGACAACGACUCACCGAAUCGAAAACCCUUCUUCCCUUGAUCACCCCACCCCAAGCCUGUCCUUAACGCCUUACCGGUUUUUUAAGUUUGCCUCUCCUCGAUCCAUCAUAGGCCACCAUCGUUCUUCGAAUAUCAUUGAUAAUCCUCCUAACGGCAAACAGGUUCAACGAAAAACUAGAAGAUACGGAGGAAUAUUAAUUGCAGCUGCUGUCAUUGUUUUUUUAAUGGUAUUGUCCUUGAUGGUUAGAUUUGUAAUGGAAAGAAGUUUCUGGCGAAGAUGAUAGCGUUAAAUAUAAAAUAAAAUAUCGAAGCAAAUAAUCUAAGACGAUAAAAUAUGAGAAAAAAGAAAAAAUCGUCAGAUACUUUCAUUUCGAAUUUGCAUUGAUAUUUCGAAGUGAAAGAGCAAUGUAAAAUAUACAAUUAGUAUCAGCGUCAUACGACGCAUAUACGUUAAUAGGAAGAGGAAAUUGUUCUCCUUGAUAAAACUCUUGGAACAAAACAAUGCACUGGGACGAAUGGAACGAUCGGUUCCGGCUGCUUGCAGCUGUUAAUUAUUCGUUAAAUGUGUUAUCCAUUUAAAGUGAAAAGUUCAUCCUUUCUAUAUAAGUCUAUUGGAAAGAUAAGGAAAUAAAGUCGUUGAAUAAAAAUGAGAAAGAAAGAGAGAGAGAGAUAGCAAUAGUUUAAGCAGAAACGAAAUCAAAAGAGAGAUAAAUAAGUUAAUAAAAAGAAAACAAAGUGUUAAGAUAAAAGAAUACAAAAAUACACAUACAUGGUGAUACCAAGGAUGACAAAACAGAACAGGGAUAAAGGAGAGGGAGGGAGGAUGAGAAUUAGGGAUUAUAAAGGAAGAAGGGAUGACAGUCAUGUCUCAAGACAGUGAGUAGCUAGAAACCGUACAACGAAGGGACUGUAACUGUCUCAAGCGACGGCAAAAGGGUUGGAAACUCCUUUCAUGUAAAGUAAUAAACUACCGACAACCGUUGAUAAACACCUAA
rnacentral:misc_RNA from 1 species